UUAUCUUUUGAAUUCAUAGAAUUCCAUACCUCUGGUCUUCUUCAGUUUUAUUGUACUUUUGUAUGAUCCUCGUCAAAUUCUUGAAGUAGUCUGGCGCGUAAACGACAAUUCUCUGCGUAUCUGGAAUCUGAAGUGAUUCAAACGUGUUAAUGAAUGAAUGAAUGAUUUAUUUUAUUUCAGACAACAAUAAGUCCAUAUGUGUACAUAGUAUCAUUGAAACAUACUUAAAAUUAACAAAACCAAUCAAAUAAAAAAGAUACAUUUCUUAAAAGUAGUUAUCAGUUGAAUACAUUUCAAAUAUUCCAUUCCACUGAUACUUACUUCGAACCAACCAUUAUUAUUAUUAUUAUUGUUUAGUCCGCAAGUGAACCAUGGUACAAUGGUUCAAGUACCGACAGUCAUAACGGUCUGUUAAUGCCUUCAGGAUGCUGUUAGGGCUGACCCGGACCCGGCCAAUCAGGGAUGUGCAUCUUUUCCGCAUGGUCGUAAAGAAACAGUCGACUCGUGCCUCGGCGAACAUUCCCGACGCGCUACAGAACCGAGGCAGCCCCAAAAACCCCCUGAACGCAUUGUUGUAUUGGACGCGUAAGGCGUUAAUGUAAAUUAUUGAUUCGAAUCAUAAAUUUCGUAUUCAUAUCUAUUUUAAUUGUCAAAGAAAUAUUAACACCCUAAACUAUUUUUUUGGGAUUGCUGGUUGUCCGGAGACCUUUCCAGUUUGAACAGGACAGGUGGACGAGCAAGGCCUCAGCCGGGAGAGGUGGGAUUAGCUGUCAACCGCCGAGCGCCUCCGUAGGAAACCUAACAAUUCAAGAGCAACAGCUUCGCGAAUGAAUCUACUACCGGAUCGGAAUCGCGACCCGCUGAGAAGAUCCGGCGAGAAACUCAGCGGGCUGGCAGCUGCUCCGCGAAUGAAUCUACUACCGCGGUCUCUAAAAUAGUAAAGGUUGGAAUCAAAUAACAAUAACAAAAAUAUAACAGAAGCAAGUUACUUGAUUAGAUUUAGUCAAUCAAAUACCACGUUAAUUAAUUUCAAACCAACUUACAACGAUGACGUGUUUGGAUGAGUUUCUGUCGUCCUCAGACACGGCCCAGUUGAAGAGGCCUCCCAGGUUGUAUCUGAAAUUGAAACAAAAUCAUAUUAUUAUAAACAGAGUAAACAAUUUAUCUUUGUUAUUAAA